ACAUGUCUACAACAUAGUGCUAAUGCAUCAGAUCACAUUAGAACUCCACAGUUAAGUUCUCUCAAGAUAAAGUAGUACUGAGAUGGGUGACCUCUCGGGAAGUCUUAGUGUUUUACAUGCC
rnacentral:rRNA from 1 species